UACGUAGGGGGCAAGCGUUGUCCGGAUUUAUUGGGCGUAAAGAGCGUGUAGGCGGCCAGAUAGGUCAGCUGUGAAAACUCGAGGCUCAACCUCGAGAUGUCGGCUGAAACCAUCUGGCUAGAGUCCGGAAGAGGAAAGUGGAAUUCCUGGUGUAGCGGUGAAAUGCGCAGAUAUCAGGAAGAACACCCGUGGCGAAGGCGGCUUUCUGGGACGGUACUGACGCUGGAGACGCGAAAGCCGUGGGGAGCGAACAGG
rnacentral:rRNA from 1 species